CGGCGAGCCGGCGGCGGUCCUCGGGCUCGGCGUCCGGGCCGGCGAUCACGUCGGCGCAGGCCCGGAUCGUGUCCGGCUCGCCGUC
rnacentral:tRNA from 1 species